rnacentral:lncRNA from 1 species
UUGAAUGCUGAGGUAUCCUAUAAUCAUUUUGGUCAAGGAGAUGAAUUAUAUGAAAACUAUAUCCGCAUGAGUUCUAAGGAUGUUGUUCUACACAUUCGACCUAUCCGACCGUCGGGUACCAUUGCUAGAUGGUCACUUUGAUUGGUAUAGAAAUUUAUUCCUAUGCUAUUAGCUUAGGUUUGAACCUAUGAGGUCAUACACAUUAGAGUUCACGAUC